UACGUAGGGGGCAAGCGUUGUCCGGAGUCAUUGGGCGUAAAGAGCGUGUAGGCGGCUUGGUAAGUCCGCUGUGAAAGUCCAGGGCUCAACCCUGGAAUGCCGGUGGAAACUGUCAAGCUUGAGUCCGGAAGAGGCGAGUGGAAUUCCUGGUGUAGCGGUGAAAUGCGCAGAUAUCAGGAGGAACACCAAUGGCGAAGGCAGCUCGCUGGGACGGUACUGACGCUGAGACGCGAAAGCGUGGGGAGCAAACAGG
rnacentral:rRNA from 1 species